CCCGGAACCGGCAGCCGGCUGCGCGCACUGCGCGCAACCUCUUGAGGAGGCCGGGAGACCCACCUGACCCGCGCGAGGAAGCCGAGACCCAAAGUUGACAGCCACCUGCCCAAGUCCCCAGAAUCCAGCUUGCCCCUUGUGACUUCAGCUCCACCAUCCAUAUUGUUGGGCAGGACAGAGCCCCGUAACACACAACUAGAGACUCAUUCACCAUGAACUGACUCAGCGCAGUGCUGAUACAACAGCUCCCAAUGACUGAGCACCCACUGUAUGCUGACCAGGUGUUACAAAUCAUGCCCAUGAGACAGCGAACAUAAUCCAUAAGUGGUGUGUGUGUACCAGCUGCUCCACCGACCAGCCAUUCCCCCAUCACUCUCCCUCCUUCCGGCUUCCCUAUUCCCGGAGACACAAUAUUGAAAUUAGUAACCCUACAUUGCCUCUAAGUGUUCAAGGGAAAGGAAGAGUCGCAUAUCUCUCACUUUAAAUCAAAAGCUAGCAAUGAUUAAGCUUAGUGAGGAAGACAUGUCAAAAUCCUAGAUAGGCUGAAAGUUAGGCCUCUUGCACUGGCUGCGAAUGCAAAGGAAAAAUUCUUGAAAGAAAUUAAAAGUGCUAUUCCAGUGAACACACAAAUGGUAAGAAAGCAAAACAGCCUUAUUGAUAUGGAGAAAGUUGUAGUGGUCUAGAUAGAAGAGCAAACCAGCCACGACAUUCCCUUAAGCCAAAGCCUAAUCCAGAGCAAGGCCCUAACUCUUCAAUUCUACAAAGGCUGAGAGAGGUAAGAAAGCUGCAGAAGAAAAGUUUGAAGCCCACAGAGGUUUGUGAGGUUUAAGGAAAGAAGCCAUCUUCAUAACCUAAAAAUGCAAGGUAGAAGCAAGUGCUGAUGUAGAAGCUAAAGCGAGUUAUCCCAGAAGAUCUAGCCAAGAUAAUUGAUGAAGGUGGCUACACUAAACAGAUUGUCAAUGUACUAUUGGAAGAAGAUGCCAUCUGGGACUUUCAUAGCUAGAGGAGAAAAGUCAAUGCCUGGCUUCAAAGCUUCAAAGGACAGGCUGACUCUAUUGUUAGGUGCUAAUGUAGCUGGUGACUUUAAGUUGAAGACAGUGCUCACUUGCCAUUCUGAAAAUGGUAGUGCCCUCAAGAGUUGUGCUAAAUUUACUCUGCCUGCGCUCUAUAAAUGGAACGACAAAGCCUGGAUGACAGCAAAUCUGUUUACAGCAUGGUUUACUGAAUAUGUUAAGCCCACUGUUGAGAACUGCUCAUAAAAAAAAGAUUCCUUUCAAAAUAUUACUGCUUGUUGACAAUGCAUCUGGUCACCCAAGAGCUCUCAUGGAAAUGUACAAUGAGAUGAAUGUUGUUUUCAUACCUGUAAACACAACAUUCAUUCUGCUACCCAUGGAUCAAGGAGUCAUUUCAACUUUCAAGUCUACUAUUGAAGAAAUACAUGUUGUAAGGCUAUAACUGCCAUAGAUAGUGAUUCCUCUGAUGGACCUGGGCAAAAUAAAUUGAAAACCUGGAAAGGAUUCACCAUUCUUGAUGCCAUUAAGAAUAUUUGUGAUUCAUAGGAAGAAAAAGUCAAAAUAUCAACAUUACAGGAGUUUGGAAGAAGUUGAUUUCAGCCCUCAUGGAUUACUUUGUGAGGUUCAAAACUUCAGUGGAGGAAGUAACUGCAGAUGUGGUAGAAACAUCAAGAGAACUAGAAUUAGAAGUGGAGCAUGAAGAUGGGACUGAAUUGCAGCAAUCUCACGAUAAAACUUGAAUGGAUAAGGAGUUACUUCUUAUGGAUGAGCAAAGAAAGUGAUUUCUUUUUUUUCUAAUUCAUUUUAUUGA